rnacentral:rRNA from 1 species
UACGUAGGUGACAAGCGUUGUCCGGAUUUACUGGGCGUAAAGAGCGCGCAGGCGGUCGAUCAAGUCGAGUGUGAAAGCCCCCGGCUCAACUGGGGAGGGUCAUUCGAUACUGGUCGACUCGAAGGCAGGAGAGGGUAGUGGAAUUCCCGGUGUAGUGGUGAAAUGCGUAGAUAUCGGGAGGAACACCAGUGGCGAAGGCGACUACCUGGCCUGUUCUUGACGCUGAGGCGCGAAAGCGAGGGGAGCAAACGGG